rnacentral:rRNA from 1 species
UGUCCCUCCGCCUAUCUACCACCGUCGUCAGCUUACCCUGUGAAGGACUCAUAGUAAGCAAGAUUGGCAUAGCCCAAAACGUCAGGUCGAGGUGUAGCGUAUGGAAAGGGAAGAAAUGGGCUACAUUCCCUAACACAGGGAACUACGAAUGAUACGCUGAAAUACGUAUCUGAAGGAGGAUUUAGCAGUAAGCAGAAAAAAGAGCGUUCCGCUGAAACCGGCCCUGAAGCGCGCACACACCGCCCGUCACUCUCCCCGAGCUCAUCAACCUUAAAUACCUAAGACCUAAAUACUGCAAAGGGGAGGCAAGUCGUAACAUGGUAAGUGUACCGGAAGGUGCACUUGGAAAAAU